AGCUUCGAUCGCUUCCCCGUCGCUGCUCCAGUUCGCUUCUGCCGAUCAGAGUGAGAAAGGAGAUAGCCGGCGAUCGUUGUCGUCUGGCGCUCAGCCGGUCAGCGAUCGGAGUUGCUGCCGCCUACUGAAGCCAAAAUUGGAGAUCUCCAGCAGAGAAAGAAGCAGAUCGGCGCGACCUCCAGCAGCAGAUCUCCAGCAGCGGCGCGACCUCCAGCAGCAGAUCGGCGCCGGAUAUCCACACCAUUGGCGCGACUUCCAGCAGCAGAUCGUCGACGGAACAAAGCAGACCUCGGGCGACCUCCAGCAGCAGAUCGGCGCCAAACACAGCAGACCUCCAGCAGCAGACCGGCGCCGAACACAGCAGACCUACAGCAGCAGCAUACCUCAAGCAGAUCUCCGCCGGAAAUCGGGAUUUCCAAUCUCGGAUUUUCUCUGCACUUGUCAUCUCGAUUGCUUGGUUGUUCUGUUUGGUUCUGUGCAGUUGGAUUGAGCCAUUUUGAUUAUUUAUGCUGCCAAAUUAACAUUGGUGGUUUAAAUGGAAUGGAGAGAGGUGAGGAAAAGAAGGGUUGGCCAACCCUUUUCUGAGAGAAUAACGGCAAGGCACCAAAGAUAUCCAAAUCCUAGGAACACAAGCCUCAGUUCGAGAAGAACCUUCAAUGGAACAGACGGUGGUAGAUUUGGGCGGC
rnacentral:lncRNA from 1 species